rnacentral:tRNA from 1 species
UGUGGCUCAGUGGUAGAGUGCUUGCCUAGCAUGCAUGAAGCCCUGGGUUCGAUUCCUCAGUA